rnacentral:rRNA from 1 species
GUAGUCUGAGGAGUAUUGGUUGGUUCUCGUCCGAUCACCGAAGUUAAGCAAUGUCGGGCCCGUCAGUACUUUUGGGAGGGUGUUUAUUAUCGUUUGUA